ACAGAUCAAGAACUCAUAAGUAUCAAUGGUUAGUGUGUUGUCAAUUUAUCCCAUUUCAGAUUGGCAAAUAAAGAGACGGUUUAAAUAAUACUCCCUCCGUCCGGAAUUACUUGUCAUCAAAAUGGAUGUGUCUAGAACUAAAAUAUAUCUAGAUACAUCCAUUUCAAUGACAAGUAUUUUCGGACGGAGGAAGUAGUAGAAUGAUAUGACAUUGUUCAUAGUUAAAACAUUGCAGAAUAUGACAUUGUGCUGUAGUGGGUAGGUUCACCACACCACUGGAUUACGGAUGAAGAACAGAAGCAUACAUGCAAUGCAAAAGAAGAUCACUUGCUCUGUAUAGUUUAAUUUACAUGGUAUGAAUAAGGAACUUGGUUGUACAACUGAAAACUUAAAUUGAGAAAGGACAAACUUUUGUUUAUGAACUACAUAAUAAACUUUAAAC
rnacentral:lncRNA from 1 species